rnacentral:rRNA from 1 species
AACGUAGGUGGCAAGCGUUAUCCGGAAUUACUGGGCGUAAAGGGUGUGCAGGCGGGGGAGCAAGUGGGGUAUGAAAUCUCCAGGCUUAACCUGGAGGGGUUAUGCCAGACUGCAUCUCUAGAGGACGAGAGAGGGGGGUGGAAUUCCGGGUGUAGUGGUGAAAUGCGUAGAGAUCCGGAGGAACCCCAGAGGCGAAGGCGGCCCCCUGGCUCGUACCUGACGCUCAGCCACGAAAGCAUGGGGAGCGAACGGG